rnacentral:tRNA from 1 species
GGAGAAAUGCCGGAGUGGCCGAACGGGACUGACUCGAAAUCAGUUGUCCUGCUCAGGUGGGACCGGGGGUUCGAAUCCCUCUUUCUCCGCCA